GGGGGGAGGCCAGAUCCUGGGCUGUGUCCCGGUGCCCAGUGCUCCUGGUCCUGUGCUGUUGGAUUCACACUCCUGGUGCCUCAGCUCCCU
rnacentral:pre_miRNA from 1 species